UGGGGAAUAUUGGACAAUGGGCGAAAGCCUGAUCCAGCCAUGCCGCGUGUGUGAAGAAGGUCUUCGGAUUGUAAAGCACUUUAAGUUGGGAGGAAGGGCAGUAAGCGAAUACCUUGCUGUUUUGACGUUACCGACAGAAUAAGCACCGGCUAACUCUGUGCCAGCAGCCGCGGUAAUACAGAGGGUGCAAGCGUUAAUCGGAAUUACUGGGCGUAAAGCGCGCGUAGGUGGUUCGUUAAGUUGAAUGUGAAAGCCCCGGGCUCAACCUGGGAACUGCAUCCAAAACUGGCGAGCUAGAGUAGGGCAGAGGGUGGUGGAAUUUCCUGUGUAGCGGUGAAAUGCGUAGAUAUAGGAAGGAACACCAGUGGCGAAGGCGACCACCUGGGCUCAUACUGACAAUGAGAUGCGAAAGCGUGGGGAGCAAACAGG
rnacentral:rRNA from 1 species